GACGAACGCUGGCGGCGUGCUUAACACAUGCAAGUCGAACGCUGAAGCCUAGCUUGCUGGGUGGAUGAGUGGCGAACGGGUGAGUAACACGUGAGUAACCUGCCCCCUUCUUUGGGAUAACGCCCGGAAACGGGUGCUAAUACUGGAUAUUCACUGGCCUUCGCAUGGGGGUUGGUGGAAAGGUUUUUUCUGGUGGGGGAUGGGCUCGCGGCCUAUCAGCUUGUUGGUGGGGUGAUGGCCUACCAAGGCUUUGACGGGUAGCCGGCCUGAGAGGGUGACCGGUCACAUUGGGACUGAGAUACGGCCCAGACUCCUACGGGAGGCAGCAGUGGGGAAUAUUGCACAAUGGGCGCAAGCCUGAUGCAGCGACGCCGCGUGCGGGAUGACGGCCUUCGGGUUGUAAACCGCUUUUGACUGGGAGCAAGCCCU
rnacentral:rRNA from 1 species